rnacentral:rRNA from 1 species
ACUGCUCAGUAACACGUGGAUAACCUACCCAAGAGUCCGGGAUAACCCCGGGAAACUGGGGAUAAUACCGGAUAGGUCAAACUUGCUGGAAGGCUGUUUGGUUGAAACCUCCGGGGCUUUUGGAUGGGUCUGCGGCUGAUUAGGUUGUUGCCGGUGUAACGUACCGUCAAGCCUGUAAUCAGUACGGGUUGUGGGAGCAAGAGCCCGGAGAUGGAUUCUGAGACACGAAUCCAGGCCCUACGGGGCGCAGCAGGCGCGAAAACUCUACAAUGCAGGCAACUGCGAUAGGGGAACAUCGAGUGGCGUCCAUAUUGGAUGUCUGUCCCCCAGCCUAAAAAGCUGGGGUUAGCAAGGGCCGGGCAAGACCGGUGCCAGCCGCCGCGGUAAUACCGGCGGCUCGAGUGGUGGCCGAUAUUAUUGAGUCUAAAGGGUCCGUAGCCGGCUUUGCAAGUCUCUCGGGAAAUCCAGCGGCUUAACCGUUGGUCGUCCGGGGGGUACUACAUUGCUUGGGACUGGGAGAGGUAGGAGGUACUCAGGGGGUAGGAGUGAAAUCCUGUAAUCCUUUGGGGACCACCGGUGGCGAAGGCGUCCUACCAGAACAGGUCCGACGGUGAGGGACGAAAGCUAGGGGCACGAACCGGAUUAGAUACCCGGGUAGUCCUAGCCGUAAACGAUGCUCGCUAGGUGUCACAACAGUCGUGAACUGUUGUGGUGCCGUAGGGAAGCCGUGAAGCGAGCCACUUGGGAAGUACGACCGCAAGGUUGAAACUUAAAGGAAUUGGCGGGGGAGCACA